rnacentral:sRNA from 1 species
UGACAUUCCGCGAACACCGAGCGAACCU